rnacentral:lncRNA from 1 species
UUGUUUGAUUUUUUGUUAAAGUUCAGUUUGAACUCUUUUUGUUCUUGAAUUUUCUAUUUUUGUUCUAGCUUUUUGCUAUUUUCUUCUUCUUUUUCUCUUUUUAUGUUUACUGGAUCUCUCCGACUUGGAAUCUUUUAGGUCUGGAUCCUGGUUUCUCGUUUGGGUUUACUGUUAGAUGUGGGUUAUAGGAUUAGACCAAGAAUUUUUGUGUUCUUUUUUAGAUCCAAGCUACUUGACCUCUAUGUUAUUACCUGAACAAUUUCUUUUCUAGGAAAGUUGAAAACUUUCCCGGGAGGUACUUACAUUCUGUCAUAAACGGUGAGAUCUGGGUGUUUCACUUGAUUAUCUGUUGGAUGAUAAGAUUCAUUUGAUUUAUAAUCUAGUCAUGGGCUUUAAUAUCAAAAUUGGCUUUAAUAUCAAAAUUGGUUACUUUAAUCUCCUGCUAGUAAAUCUAUUCAUAUCUUUCAAUAGAAAAUAAUUCAAGAUUAAUUUUUUUUAUGAAUUGGGAAUAUAAAAUUUUCUGUUAUGGAAUUGAUGUUUCAUCAAAGUUUUUUAGUGGAAUUAACUUGUCUCAAUCAAAAUUUGCUGAAAUGAUUGAUAUUUGAGAUUUUGUGCAUAAAUAUUCUGUAGUAAAUAAGAAAAUCUGAAAUGGAAUUUCUAUUGAAUUAUUAUACACAGGAAAGCAUUUAGUUUUUUGCUGGGUUUUAGUAUGUAUUAACUUUUGCUGUUCUUAGCAGGCUUAAAAAUACCGACAGAGUAAGAUAGAUAGGGUUUAAAGCCAUUAGAGAUCCCUACAAAUUCAAGAUGAUGAUGUUCGAUGAGAUGGGAUUUCUUGGUGAUAUGGAUUUCUUCUCUGCGCCUUUUGGAGAAGAUGUGGCUGGUCCGGAAACUGAGCCGGAGCCUACUGUGGAGGAUGAUUAUAGUGAUGAGGAGAUUUAUAUUGAUGAGCUUGAGCGCAGGAUGUGGAGGGACAAGAUGCGUCUUAAAUGGCUGAAAGAGCAGAUCAAGAGUAAAGAAGGUAUUGAUAUUGCUAAGCAGAGGCAGUCACAGGAACAAGCUAGGAGGAAGAAGAUGUCAAGGGCUCAAGAUGGGAUCUUAAAAUAUAUGUUGAAGAUGAUGGAAGUUUGUAAAGCUCAAGGCUUUGUUUAUGGGAUUAUUCCUGAGAAAGGAAAGCCAGUGACUGGGGCAUCAGAUAAUCUUCGAGAGUGGUGGAAGGAUAAAGUAAGGUUUGAUCGAAAUGGUCCGGCUGCCAUUGCCAAGUAUCAAGCGGAUAAUUCGAUCCCAGGCAAGAAUGAGGAUUGUAAUUCAAUUGGUCCAACUCCACAUACCUUGCAGGAGCUUCAAGAUACUACUUUGGGUUCGCUUUUGUCAGCUUUGAUGCAGCACUGUGAUCCUCCUCAGAGGCGGUUUCCAUUGGAGAAAGGUGUUCCUCCACCAUGGUGGCCCAAUGGAAAUGAAGAGUGGUGGCCUCAAUUAGGCUUACCUAAGGACCAGGGUCCUCCACCUUAUAAGAAGCCUCAUGACUUGAAAAAGGCAUGGAAGGUUGGGGUUCUUACUGCAGUGAUCAAACAUAUGUCUCCAGACAUUGCCAAAAUUCGCAAGCUUGUGAGACAGUCAAAGUGUUUACAGGACAAAAUGACAGCUAAGGAGAGUGCAACUUGGCUUGCAAUUAUUAACCAAGAGGAGGCAUUGGCCCGAGAGCUUUACCCUGAUUCAUGCCCACCCUUGUCAUCGACUGGAGGGAGUGGUUCAUUAGUGAUUCAUGAUUGCAGUGAAUAUGAUGUUGAAGGGGUUGAAAAUGAGGGAGGUAAAAAUACGUGGAGGGACAAGAUGCGUCUUAAAAGGCUGAAAGAGCAGAACAAGAGAAAAGAAGGUAUUGAGAUUGCUAAGCAGAGGCAGUCACAGGAAGAAGCUAGGAGGAAGAAGAUGUCAAGGGCUCAAGAUGGGAUCUUCUUUUUACUUAGUAAAUUAUAGAGGAGAAUUUUAUUAGCAAUUGAAAGAAGAGUAACCAGAAAAUGGAAAUUGCAUCUUUUUUUUCGUGGCAUUUUAUCAUUGCAUUGUUGAAUAUUUUCUCCAGUCACAGAGUUCCCUUUCCAUGGAGUUUAAAAGAUUGGCUUACUGUAGAUACUAUAGAUCUUUAUUUAUGUCUAGGUAAAAUACAUCUGUGACUCUAAAUUAUGUCAUAAUUAACACUUUUGUCCCUCUACUGAUUAGAGAAAUGAAAAUGUUAAUCAGGGCAUAAUUAAGGACCCACAUGUAUUCUACCCUAGUUCAAUGAUUAAAAGGUUAUUGUAGUCUUUUUAUUUUCAAUUGCUGGUGAAAGUUCACUUUUUUGGAAGGAAUAACUUAUCAAUUAGAAAGACUAUUAGGGUGAAAUUUAAAAUAUAUGCAAGGAAAUAUGCUUAACCAAAAAAAAAAAAAAAUUAUAUAUAUAUAUAUAUAUAUAUAUAUAUAUAUAUAUAUAUGAAAAGAGAUGAAGGUCAAAUUUGUCUUGCCAUAUUUUAUUUUAUAUACCAAAUGCUGAAAAAUAAUUUUCUUUAAAAAAGUACUUUUUGAGAAGUAUACUUCGGGAUAAAUAAUAAUUUUUCUUUAUUUUAUUUUUAGAUAAUGUUAAAGAUGAAAAACGAACUUUGAGGAGUGUCUUGAUGUGGUCAUUUGGGGAAACGCACUGGAGAGUUGAUGACGGGCUAAAGUGGGCCUGAAACCGGACCAGGUUCAGUUGGCUGUUUCCAACUAUGAAAUAGACAAUAAUAGCCUCAAGACAAGGCUUACUGUUUACGUGCUUUGGUAACAUGCACAUGUUUGGUUUUCUACAGAACAAAUCCCUUUUUCAGAAAAAUUAAUUAUUUUAUUCAUUAAUUAUUUUACUGGCUGUUAAUUAUUUCAGUUGGUUGUUUUGUCAAACCUUAUAAGCAAUAACAUCUAAAAAUUAUUAUCUCAGUUUUAUGAUAUUUGUUAUAUUGGAGAAAUAAUUUAUUCUAAAAUAUUUGUUAUAUUUGUGAUUUUAAGAGUAAUAAAUUUUUUUUUUUUUCAUGUCUACCAUUUGUAUAGGUCUAACUAUCAUAACUUCAAUUUAAUAAUUUUUUUUAAAAAAAAUUAGUAUUUAACGUCUGAUUUAUCAAUAAACAGAUUUUGUUGGUAGUUACCUACAAAUUAGAAAUUUUUAUUGAUAAAAUUUAUUUUUAAAAUUAAAAAAGAUCAUAUAAUUUUAACGAUCGAUUAUCGACAGAAUAGAUUACCAACAGAGUUUACCAAUAAAUUUAAAUUUUAUUGGCAAAAAGUGUGUUAUAAAUUUGCGCGUAGGUUGAUAAUUUAUUAACAAAUUACAAAUAGAUUUUUAUAAAAAUUUUAAAUUUCAAGAGUCAUAAAUGGGCGGGUAAAUGAUGAAAUUUGGCAACACUAAAAUAUAUAAAUUUAUUUAUGAACUUUUUCGAAAAAAAAAAAAAGUGUGGAUAUAAAUUUCAGGUGUCAUAAAUUGCUCCAAAUAAGGCAAGUCACUAAUUCUAACAGACUUGAUGACAUCUGCCUAACAAAGUAGGAUAUUUAUCGUUUGAUUAUUUAAGCAACUAACGGAAGUCAGUUGUUUUAGCAGACUUGCCUUAGUUGGAACUACUAAAGGUUACGGAGAAGGUCAUAGUUUCAACUGAGACAAGUAAAAACACGUUAUUAAAGAAAACGGCGUCAUUUCUUUCUAGUAAUUCCAACUCAUGUCCCUCUUCACUUCCUACGUUUAGCUCAUAAAUGUCAUUACUUGAUUUCCAAUUUGAAUUUAAGCUCAACUCAUUUACGAUUAGCGAGCCAAGUUCCAUUUUUAAAUGAAUCAAACUCGAAAUCAAGUAUAUCAUAAUCGAAUGGAGCUUAAAUUCAUCAAAACUCGACUUUUCGAUCAGUUCAGCUUGAUUUGACUUAUUUACAACCCUAUCUAAUCUCAUUCUGUUUCGAGGACUAUGAUAUAUAUCAUGCUCCUCUUCCUUUAUCAACGUGCUAGUCCAAACCAAGUUUGCUUCGUACUACUAAGAACUUAUGGAGAAUAACAAUUACUCAUAAAUAAAUAUUGCACUUAAAUAAACAAAUGCUAAAGCAUUUCUCAUUCUUUAUAAAUAGGUAAGACUUAAAGAACGAUUGUAUUAACAAUUUUACAUUUUUUUUUUUGUAUAAAUGACAAAACAAAAUUUUGAUAGAAAAAUUUAAAAGAUAUUAUUUUUCUUAGGAAUUUAGUAAUUUUUUUAACUUGAUAUAAUUAUUGGGUAUAUUUAAAAAAUAUAUAUAUAUUAUUUAAGGCCACAAAAAGGAGGUUAAACUAAUUUUGGUUUAAGGCAAUGAAAUAUCAAUUAAUUUUGGUUCGAUUUCGAACUAAACCAAGCUGCAAGAACCAAAAAUCGAAAAUACAUUUUACUUGAAAUCGAACCGAACCAAAAUGGUCAAUCCGGUUUGAUAGGUAUGAAUUCAGUUAAACGAUUUGGUUUUACACAUUAAAUAAACGUUUGGUAUAACCAAUCCAAAUACAGAAAAUUGAAAUUAUGAAAAAAUUUUAAACAUAAGCCUAGACCAAAAACUGAAUAAUUGAACUAAAAAUAAAAAAUAAUUUGGUUCGAUUCGAGUUUUGAUUUUUCCUAAAAUCUGCUCACCCCAGUCAAUUAGAUUCCUAACCCAUCACCAGAUGUCCAUUUUAAUUUCGUGCGUAGUGCUUGGCUUACGCUGGCAGCUGUACAAUUGACCAAAUACAAUUUAUCUUGAAACUUUUAAGGAUUAUUUUAUUUUAAUUUCAUGCAAUUGGUAAUUAGUUUUGCCGCAAUGAAAUGCUGCACGUGCUUAAAAAAAAAAAAGUAAAAAAGGUCUUUGACUUGAUAAACACAAAGCAUUUGAUGUCACAUCCCCAAGUCCGUGGAUAAUACAGUUACUAUUAAACCCACGAAAUGUUCCACAAAUAAAAUAUAAAUUGGAAAACCAAGUUAAUAUUUUAGUAGAUAUCCCUAAUAAUUUUUAUAUUUUUUAACUAUUUAACAAGUGUUGAAUUGAUUUAAUUUUAUCAAUUAAAAUAUUCGUUGCAUUAAGUUGAAAUAUUUAUUAAGUGUAAUUUGUUAAAUUAAAGUGCUUAAUAAAAUAAAAUUUAAAAGUGUUACAGGAGAUUUUAUAAAAAAUGCAUAUAUAAAUUUAUUAUUUCGCUCUAAAAAUAUAAAAAUAAAUUAGAUAUAUUAUUAUUGAAAAUAUUUUAUCGGAAUAUCAUUUUUAAUCUGAUCGUAAAAUUACGUUUGUGAAAUAAAAACCACAUUUAUAGCAAAUUAAGUUGAAUUAUACUGAUUUGACAAAAAUAUUUUUCAAUACAAUCAUAAAUAUUAUUAAUUUUAUAGUGUUCAUUUUUAUUUUAGAAAAAAAAAAAAAACAUUGAGGUUUCUCUAGUUGAUGAAAUAUCCAUCUACGGAUAGUUCCACCUCUAAAUAUGGCAUGGGUACCUAAAAAUUUAAGAUUUUUAUAAUUUCUCACCCUUUUUAUUUAUAUUUAAUUGAUUUAUGCAAAUCAAAUCACCAAAAUUCUUACAUGAUAUGAUCUUUUUGAAUUAAAAUGUGUCAUAACUUACAAAAUAAUAUAUAUAUAUAAACAACUUAUAAAAUAUAUAAGGCUUGUUUUGGCAAUACUAGCUCUUUUAGUAAGAAUUUAUUCGGCAAUAUUAGUUAUUUUAUAAGCUCUUUAAACUAGUAGUUGUUUAUAUAAUAAUUUAAAUUAAAAAUGCUCGAUAAAAAUAAUUGUUUUGUUUAAAAAAUUAGGAUUACAAUUAUUAAAAAAAUUAUCUGAAUACCACUUUCAUUCUGAAUAUAUAUAUAAAUAAACCACAAAAAUUAGUGUUUAUGGGAGAAUUAAUUACAAUUAUAGAUUUUUCAUUAUUUGUACAGAAAAACCUAACACAUCCAAAUCUUUCUUAAUCACUUUUGAUUUGCAAUAUCAUCAUCUUUUUCGUCUUCUUUUUCUAGUUUCACCUUCAUUGUCUUAUUGCUUCCUCGAUAGGUGCCACUCGAACUUUCUUUUACCUUAUUAGCUUAACUAUUUCUGCUUUAAUAAAAUUCAAAAUAAAAAAAAUUAAAUUCCAAAAAAUAUUAAAAAGUUCUAGAAGUAUAUAAUAAUUUUUUAAAAAUAUAUUCCAUUUCUUCAAACGAAUAAUAAACACUAUAAAAAGAAUAAAACCUAUUCGAGUUGGUGGGAUUUGAAUCCUAUAAAAGCAAACCACAUGCAUAAAUGUUGACACGAUAGCUCGCGGUAUAAACAUGAAAAGAAAAAAAAAUUCUGUAAAAAGAAUAAAAUAAUAAUAAUAAUAAUAAAUUAAAUUUAAAGCUAUGCUCAAAAGAGAGAUUAAUAAAUUUAGAAAAAUAUAUAUUUAUUGAAAAAAUAAAAAUAAAAAAGAAGAAUUAUCAAUAAGAAUAAAAUAAAAUAAAAGGCUAGUAGUAGAUAUCAUAUAAAUUUUUUCAAAUUAAUUGAAAAAUAGACUGAUAUAGUAUUAGGUCUAAUUUAAGUAGUCUUUAUACCCAUUUAGGCAAUAAAAAUAUAUAUGUUAAAUCAUUAAUAUCUUAUUGGUAUUUUUUUAAAUUCCAGUGGUAAAAAUCAAGUCUGAAAUUUCCUUAUUUACUCAUUAAAAAAUAAGAAAAAGUUCAAAUUUUCAUUCUAAAUUUCUUCAAUCAACGAAAGUCCUGAAAUGGAAUUCACUUUUUAAGUAAGGGAUUUUUUAAGAUUUUUCAUUUACUUUAUAUUAUUUAAUUUCAAAUAUUUAUAAAUUUUAGUAUUAAUUACAAAAGAUUUUCACAGACAUUGUAAUGUAGUUGGAAAUUUUGAUGUUUGAACGCUUUUGCCAAAUAGCGAUAUAAAUAUUUACUCCCUCUAUCUCAAAAAAUUUAUCAUGUUUACUCUUACACGAAGUUUAAGAAACAAAAUAAUUACAGUGUAACAUAUUCCUUUAUCUCAAAAUAUAAUUCGUUUAAGGUUUUUGUAUAAGAAUUAAGGAAGUAAUUAAUUCUUCUUGAUUAUAAUAAAAUUAAAAGUAAAUUGAUUAAAUAAUCGUUUAUAUUAAAACUAAUAGGUACUUGUGAAAGUUUUUGUUGUAUCUAAUGUAAACAACGGUAACAUUAGAAAAAUAUUAUUUAUUUACUCAUUGAAAUAUUCAAAAUGACUUAUAUUUUAAAAUAAAAUAAUUAUACAAAAACGACUUAUAUAUUGGGACAGAGGGAACAUAAAAUAUUUGUGCUUCCAAAAUUGUGAUUCUUUUAAACAAAAUGGUUAUUUCUAAAAAUUUGCACCAAAAUCAGUUAUAAAAAAAAAACAUAAAAGGAAAUAUCAAUAUCUCCUCGAUUAAUUGGACAAACAUUUUGAGACAUUUAAAAAUCAAAAUAUGGAUUAAAAUUUUUUGGUACGGAAUGAGCAUUAUAUUUUGUCAUUGUUGAUUAUAAAUUAAAUUAACAGAAAGGGAUGAUACGUUUAGAAAAAAAUUAUUUAUAAAAAUUGAAUUUUUAAGAAAACUGAUCAGAAGUCAUUAAAAAUUGUUUAAAGACUAAUAAUAUUUAACCUAUAAAAUAAUUUAGAUUUUCGUAUUUAUUUUUUUUUCUAAAAUUUUCAAUUGUUAAUAUAAGAAACAAAACCUUAAAAAUAAACAUUUUGAUGAAACAACAACUGUAACUCUUAUCUGUAAGAAGGGAAGCAAUAGAAAGAAAAUCUAGAGAAAAUCAGGUGCAAAUCAAUGAAAGUAAAUGCAUUCCCACUAACAAGGGAUAAGUUUUGGUGAAACGUCAGGUGUAUAUCAGAGGACACACACGCAACAACACGGAGCCCCUUCAAGCCCUCCCUCGCAGCACGUACACUUUCACUUUCACUUUCUUUGUCUUAAAUAAUCUCCUCUUCUCUCUCUCUCUCUCUCUCUCUCUCCAAACGGACAUAACUAUGGUUCAAUUGAAUUAACCUCAUCAAACCUCACCUCUUCUCUCCCUCUCUCCCUCUCUCUCCUUCCUCAUGCUUUCUUAUAUUUUUUUUGGCUAAUCUUGUUACUUUAAUCCCACCGCCCACUCCACACAGUCACCAAUAAUACUACUCUGUUCUGCAUCAUCCCUCAAGUUCCCAUUUCAAAAGAUAAUAUUUUGAUUAGUGGUUAUUUCUCUUAUUUUCCUCUUUCUUUGUCUUUCUCUCUUAAACUUGAAAUAUAAUUAAUUAAGGGGAAGGAAAGAAAAAGAAAAGAAAAUUAAAGGGUCUGUCGGUGUUGUUUGAUUGACCUUGAAUCUAUCUGGGAAAGAGGUAAAUUGUUGUUUGAUUUUUUUUUUUUUUUUAAAGUUCAGUUUGAACUCUUUUUGUUCUUGAAUUUUCUAUUUUUGUUAUAACUUUUUGCUAUUUUCUUCUUCUUUUUCUCUUUUUACGUUUACUGGAUCUCUCCGACUUGGAAUCUUUUGGGUCUGGAUUCUGGUUUCUCGUUUGGGUUUACUGUUAGAUGUGGGUUUUAGGAUUAGACCAAGAAUUUUUGUGUUCUUUUUUAGAUCCAAGCUACUUGACCUGUAUGUUAUUGCAUGAACAAUUUUUUUUCUAGGAAAGUUGAAAACUUUCCCGAGAGGUCCUUACCUUCUGUCAUAAACGGUGAGAUCUGGGUGUUUCACUUGAUUAUAUGUUGGAUGAUAAGAUUCAUUUGAUUUAUGAUCUAGUCUUGGGCUUUAAUAUCAAAAUUGGUUACUUUAAUCUGCUGCCAGUAAAUCUAUUUAUAUCUUUCAAUAGAAAAUAAUUCAAGAUUAAUUUUUUUUAUGAAUUGGGAAUAUAAAAUUUUCUGUUGUGGAAUUGAUGUUUCAUCAAAGUUUUUUAGUGGAAUUAAUUUGUCUCGAUCAAAAUUUGCUGAAAUGAUUGAUAUUUGAGAUUUUGUGCAUAAAUAUUCUGUAGCAAAUAAGAAAAUCUGAAAUGGAACUUCUAUUGAAUUGUUGAAUUAUGAUACACAGGAAAGCAUUUAGAUUUUUGCUGGGUUUUAGUAUGUAUUAACUUUUGCUGUUCUUAGCAGGCUUGAAAAUACCGACAGAGUAAGAUAGAUAGGGUUUAAAGCCAAACUAUGGUUCAAUUGAAUUAACCUCAUCAAACCUCACCUCUUCUCUCCCUCUCUCCCUCUCUCUCCUUCCUCAUGCUUUCUUAUAUUUUUUUUGGCUAAUCUUGUUACUUUAAUCCCACCGCCCACUCCACACAGUCACCAAUAAUACUACUCUGUUCUGCAUCAUCCCUCAAGUUCCCAUUUCAAAAGAUAAUAUUUUGAUUAGUGGUUAUUUCUCUUAUUUUCCUCUUUCUUUGUCUUUCUCUCUUAAACUUGAAAUAUAAUUAAUUAAGGGGAAGGAAAGAAAAAGAAAAGAAAAUUAAAGGGUCUGUCGGUGUUGUUUGAUUGACCUUGAAUCUAUCUGGGAAAGAGGUAAAUUGUUGGUUGAUUUUUUUUUUUUUUUAAAGUUCAGUUUGAACUCUUUUUGUUCUUGAAUUUUCUAUUUUUGUUAUAACUUUUUGCUAUUUUCUUCUUCUUUUUCUCUUUUUACGUUUACUGGAUCUCUCCGACUUGGAAUCUUUUGGGUCUGGAUUCUGGUUUCUCGUUUGGGUUUACUGUUAGAUGUGGGUUUUAGGAUUAGACCAAGAAUUUUUGUGUUCUUUUUUAGAUCCAAGCUACUUGACCUGUAUGUUAUUGCAUGAACAAUUUUUUUUCUAGGAAAGUUGAAAACUUUCCCGAGAGGUCCUUACCUUCUGUCAUAAACGGUGAGAUCUGGGUGUUUCACUUGAUUAUAUGUUGGAUGAUAAGAUUCAUUUGAUUUAUGAUCUAGUCUUGGGCUUUAAUAUCAAAAUUGGUUACUUUAAUCUGCUGCCAGUAAAUCUAUUUAUAUCUUUCAAUAGAAAAUAAUUCAAGAUUAAUUUUUUUUAUGAAUUGGGAAUAUAAAAUUUUCUGUUGUGGAAUUGAUGUUUCAUCAAAGUUUUUUAGUGGAAUUAAUUUGUCUCGAUCAAAAUUUGCUGAAAUGAUUGAUAUUUGAGAUUUUGUGCAUAAAUAUUCUGUAGCAAAUAAGAAAAUCUGAAAUGGAACUUCUAUUGAAUUGUUGAAUUAUGAUACACAGGAAAGCAUUUAGAUUUUUGCUGGGUUUUAGUAUGUAUUAACUUUUGCUGUUCUUAGCAGGCUUGAAAAUACCGACAGAGUAAGAUAGAUAGGGUUUAAAGCCAUUAGAGAUCCCUACAAAUUCAAGAUGAUGAUGUUCGAUGAGAUGGGAUUUUGUAGUGAUAUGGAUUUCUUCUCUGCGCCUUUUGGAGAAGAUGUGGCUGCUCCGCAAGCUGAGCCGGAGCCUACUGUGGAGGAUGAUUAUAGUGAUGAGGAGACUGAUGUUGAUGAGCUUGAGCGCAGGAUGUGGAGGGACAAGAUGCGUCUUAAAAGGCUGAAAGAGCAGAACAAGAGUAAAGAAGGUAUUGAUAUUGCUAAGCAGAGGCAGUCACAGGAACAAGCUAGGAGGAAGAAGAUGUCAAGGGCUCAAGAUGGGAUCUUAAAAUAUAUGUUGAAGAUGAUGGAAGUUUGUAAAGCUCAAGGCUUUGUUUAUGGGAUUAUUCCUGAGAAAGGAAAGCCAGUGACUGGGGCAUCAGAUAAUCUUCGAGAGUGGUGGAAGGAUAAAGUAAGGUUUGAUCGAAAUGGUCCGGCUGCCAUUGCCAAGUAUCAAGCGGAUAAUUCGAUCCCAGGCAAGAAUGAGGGUUGUAAUUCAAUUGGUCCAACUCCACAUACCUUGCAGGAGCUUCAAGAUACUACUUUGGGUUCGCUUUUGUCAGCUUUGAUGCAGCACUGUGAUCCUCCUCAGAGGCGGUUUCCAUUGGAGAAAGGUGUUCCUCCACCAUGGUGGCCCAAUGGAAAUGAAGAGUGGUGGCCUCAAUUAGGCUUACCUAAGGACCAGGGUCCUCCACCUUAUAAGAAGCCUCAUGACUUGAAAAAGGCAUGGAAGGUUGGGGUUCUUACUGCAGUGAUCAAACAUAUGUCUCCAGACAUUGCCAAAAUUCGCAAGCUUGUGAGACAGUCAAAGUGUUUACAGGACAAAAUGACAGCUAAGGAGAGUGCAACUUGGCUUGCAAUUAUUAACCAAGAGGAGGCAUUGGCCCGAGAGCUUUACCCUGAUUCAUGCCCACCCUUGUCAUCGACUGGAGGGAGUGGUUCAUUAGUGAUUCAUGAUUGCAGUGAAUAUGAUGUUGAAGGGGUUGAAAAUGAGCCGAACUUUGAUGUGCAAGAGUGCAAACCUGAGAAUCUGAAUUCCAAUUUGGGAAUGGAGAGAAUGAGGGAAAGGCUUCCACUUCGACAACCUUCUUAUCCGAUUAAGGGAGAGAUUGUCACUAAUGUUGAUUUUAUUAGGAAGAGAAAACCUCCCAGUGAUAUAGACAUGAUGGUGG